rnacentral:rRNA from 1 species
UACGUAGGCAGCAAGCGUUGUUCGGAGUUACUGGGCGUAAAGGGUGCGUAGGCGGUCCUAUAAGUAUGGUGUGAAAUCUCCCGGCUUAACUGGGAGGGUGCGCUAUAGACUGUGGGACUAGAGUGUGGGAGAGGAAAGUGGAAUUCCUGGUGUAGCGGUGAAAUGCGUAGAUAUCUGGAGGAACACCGGUGGCGAAGGCGGCAUCCUGGACCGACACUGACGCUGAGGAGCGAAAGCCAGGGGAGCAAACGGG